rnacentral:lncRNA from 1 species
CACUGGGGUUCCCUCCAUCCAGCUCACUGCCAGGAUCACGCCUACAGGUCUAGAUUUGGACACUCCAUCUCCUUCGGGAUCCUGUGGCCAACCUCCACCCACCUCCAAACCUCCCCACCCCCUCGGCAGGUGCGCCCCUACACGUCUCUCUCGCUCCGUAAAGGGUCCCAGGGUUCGCCUUGGUUGACCUGCGCGCCUGCGCACUCCGGGCAGAAGCCGAUUUUCAAAGGCUCCGGUAAGGCUGCGCUAGGGGGCGCGGAGGGGCUCACAGGCCGAAGAACCAACAGAAAAAAGCCGGAAUAUCGGUUUUUAAAAUUUUGGACCGCAGUGCCCACAGGGAAGCAGGCCCGGAUUAUCUUUAAUGGCACUGGUCAGUCACGGGGCCGCCUUAGAGGUAGAGGCACGGGACACUGUCGCCCCUCUGGGUACGUGUCCCCGCCGAGACCCGACCCCACGCGCCCCUACCGACCCCGGAGCAGCCGAGGGACUUGCCGCCGCCCUCUGCGCGCCUGCGCAUUCGCGACGGGGGACGGGCGCUCUCCAGUAUCCUGGCGCCGCAGACUCGGGCUAGGCGAUCCUCCUAGUCGGGUGAGGCUGAAGAGGUGGGCGCGGGGCGCCAGGCGCGGAUGUGGCCGCUGCUUUUCUGAGGCAAAAGAGCACGGGUUGGGCCAGGCUUUGCAGGCCGGACCGGAGGUGGAGAAAAGCCCUGCCAGUUUCCAGAGAAGACGCUUGAGAAGGAGAAACGAAUCGCAGCUGCUCUUCUAAAAAGCCGGUUCCGUCUCUAGCAUCUCUGGACCCUGCUUCUGAAGUAAAUGAACCUUGAGGAAAAUUGACCGGUUCUUGCAAUUCUAAAAUCAUGGCUCAUGUAAGUUGGAAUUUCUCUCUACUUGGAAUUCUUUCAUUUUUUUCACAUUAUGUGAACAUUCUCAUUUGUUAUUCUGCAACUUUCUAACAGAGUCCCAUUCAACAGCUGCUCCCCAGUCUUUCCCAUUCCAGUGAGGGAUGGAGCCAGCCAGAUUCCUAAGUAACCCUGUCUUCUCCAUCCGUAUCUGUAUUAGUCCGUUUUCACGCUAGUGAUAAAGACAUUCCUGAGACUGGGUAAUUUAUAAAGAAAAAGAGGUUUAAUGGACUCACAGUUCCACAUGGCUGGGGAG